UACGAAGGGGGCUAGCGUUGCUCGGAAUCACUGGGCGUAAAGCGCACGUAGGCGGAUCUUUAAGUCAGGGGUGAAAUCCCGGAGCUCAACUCCAGAACUGCCUUUGAUACUGAGAAGCUUGAGUCCGGGAGAGGUGAGUGGAACUGCGAGUGUAGAGGUGAAAUUCGUAGAUAUUCGCAAGAACACCAGUGGCGAAGGCGGCUCACUGGCCCGGUACUGACGCUGAGGUGCGAAAGCGUGGGGAGCAAACAGG
rnacentral:rRNA from 1 species